CUGAUCAACACUCAAACGUCGUCUAAACUACUUCUACAAACGAGGCUACACUUGUGGCAGCACCUAUUCCUGUGGCCCCCCCAUCUUCUGCACCACUUCCUGUGGCCUCCCCUCCACCAUUCCCUGAGGCUUAUCGUCCACCUUCACCACACUCUUCUGUUGAUGUUGGUGAUGACAAUGAUGUUGACCUCCAAACACUGCUGAAGUUAAUGAGAUGCCAACCAAAUGAACGUGGUGAGGGACAACGUUUAUGAUUGUGCAAUGAGAGGCUUCAAGAGAGCCCGCUUUAAUCAGGAGGCAAAAAUUGACACGUUUUUUAGGGAUGCUGACGGUAAAGGGGCAGCUGAUGAGGGUGGUCCCUCAUGAGAAUUUCCCCAGCUGCUAAUGAGUGCCAUCCAUUCCUCUGCAAUAUUUGAGGGACCUGAUUGACAAAAAUGCCUUUCUUGCAACUCUCAAGCACUCUAUGAUGGCGUAUACAAGCAGGUGGGCCGCAUGAUUGCUGUCUGUCUGGUACAUGGGGGUGUAGAGACACCAUUUUUUCAGAGAGGCUAUACAGGCAAGUGUGUGGCCUAAAACCUCCUGUGCCAGAACUGAAAGAAAUUGCGGAAUAUGACUUCAGAGAGAAGUUGGAGAAGGGGGGAACACAUACUCUUUAACCAUGGAGAAGGUUUUCGUUUUCACUUCAGGGGCUUCAGCAUUCCUAGGCUGGGAUUGCCAGUGGAGCCACAACUACAGUUCUCUGCAACCGCACAGCAAGCGGUACCGGAGCGCCAAGUCUAGGUCCAAGAGGCUUCUAAACAGCUUCUACCCCCAAGCCAUAAGACUACUGAACAUCUAAUCAAAUGGCUACCCAGACUAUUUUCUGCUACUCUAUCUAUGCAUAGUCACUUUAAUAUCUCUACCUAUAUGUAUAUAUGACUAACCAGUGCCCCCGCACAUUCUCUGUACCUGUACUCCCCCUGUAUAUAGCUUCACUAUUGUUAUUUUCCUGAUGCUCUUUAAUUAUUUACUUUUUUUUUUUUUUUGUAGCUGCAUUGUUGUUUAAGGGCUUGUAAGUAAGCAUUUCACUGUAAGGUCUACACCUGUUGUAUUUGGUGCAUGUGACAAAGACAAUUUGAUUUGAUUUAAAGAAUUCAUUUAAGGGGAAUUAUCCAAAACGUUUAUUGCAUGACCACCUAGUAAAUUCGGAAUACUGCAGCCAAUGUUAAUUGAUGUGCUAGCUAGCUGACUUCUGUGGCUAGCUACCAUAGGUGAGAACGGGGGUUGAAAAUGCUUCGAGGGAAUCCAAAAGUGAAGGUGGAGGUAGGGGACGAUUAUGGCCAAGGAGGUGCGUGUGCAUGGACGUCGGAGGAUCUGGCUGAGGAGAUCGCCAGGACGUCGGAGCCCAGAGGCCGCUUGAGGGAGGACGUUAGAGUGAUGGUUGCUGAAGCGGGCAUGAGUGCUUCAUUGACUGUGCUUCGCGCGGAUUCUGGUGGGCGGACCGAAGGGGUGACGUCGACGAGGAAUCUGGGGCUCAGGAUGUAAACAAACAUGGCGGCGCCCAGCUCCCGGCUGUGUCCGUAUCUGUUAAGACCCCGACGUAUUCCGGUAAGGCGGAUUGGGAAGCUUUUCAUGCUCAGUUUGAACUGUUAGCUCAUUUUAGGGGAUGAUCACGGAUGAUGCUCUGGCCUGUUUGAUAUUGAUUAGCCCCGAGGACAGACGUGAUUAUGGUGCUUCAGUGGGAGCACUGAGGAGGCGCUAUGGACUGUAUGUACAGCCCGGCUGCUGCGCUCCGAACUGAGUAAUAGACGCAGGCAGCCUGGAGAGCCUCUACGGGUGCUAGCUAAUGACAUUAAGAGCCUCUCUCGGCCGGCAUAUGCUCACAUGCCCCCCUCCGUGCAGAGCGAGCUAGCACGGGACCAGUUCAUACAGGCGCUCUCCUACGGAGCUGCGCAUACAGACCCAGCUGGCUCAUCCUGAGUCAUUGCCGAUAGCUUUGGAGAGGGAGCUGGUGUGGGCUGGGGCUUUGGUGGGGGUGCAGGGAGACAGACCCUCUGUGCGGGCUGGGGGGCAGAGCAGCCCAGACCUGGAAAAGCCUGCAUGGGUGGCUGAAAUGACAGAACUCAUAGCGUGCUGUGUCGCUACCCUAGUCCCAGGGUCUGCUGGGGUUGUUGCCAGCCAGGCCAUCUGCGCAGGGGUUGCCCCUUGUCCCCCAGAGCUCAGGGAAACGGCUCGGGGUCCGCAUAGACCGGGUAGUGUGGACCCCUGGCUUUCUUUCCCAACCACCAUCUUCUUCAGGAGGAGCCCACCGGCCCAGACGGGGAAGCAAGGCUCCACUUCCCCCAGAAGCAGACGAGGGCAAGCGGAUGGAGCCUGUCGUUGUGAUGGGCCGGACCUGUGUUGGAGACUUUUGUCAUGUCCCUGUCACUGUGGAGGGUGUUCCCUGCUCUGCCCUGGUUGACACUGGGUCCACAGUAACCCUGGUGAGGCCGGAUAUUGUGCCAGGUUGGACUCAGUGUGAACCCACAACUGUGCAGCUCCGCACAGUCACAGGUGAGCUGGCACCCAUGAAAGGGAAGGGAAUAAUGACUCUGACAGUAGGGGGCAGGUCUGUGCGUCAUCCUGUGUGGGUGGCGGCUGUGCAGGACCCUUGCAUCCUGGGGUUGGACUUUCUUAGGCGCACAGGCUGGCAGUUAGACCUAAAUGGGGGAACACAGAGCUUCCAGGGAGGGCCGGCAGUCACCAUGGCCCCCCUAAUGUCACAUUCACUCAACCCAACAAACCCUUUACUCCAACAGUUAAAGCAGCAGAGACUCAUGGCUGCCCCCCCUCCCCCCACAUCUGUGUGACUUUUCCCCAGGCCCCCUGUCACCUACGGCUGUGCGUUACAUUCCCUCGGCUACCUCCACGACACAUCCCUCCGUGGCAGUUGCUGUUUGAAUUCAGAGACGGCUUUGCGCUGAGUGAGGAAGAGGUGGGUCAGACUCAUCUGGUGCAGCAUGAGAUCGACACAGGUGAUGCUUGACCCAUCAAGAUGCGUCCCCGCCGUAUCCCGCUGGCACGCCAGGAGGCGGCAGACAAGGCUGUGUUGAAAGGAGGGAGUAGUGUAACGACCCUGGGUUUAUAAGCGUGGAAAUCGACUCUGCCGCUCGAGCAUGCUUUUGCGGCACAGUCGAUAGCGCGCUGGACUUCGGGCUAGAAGGUCGAGGGUUCGAGACCUGCUGUUUCAUUACAUUGGUGUCAGAAGUGAUCGAACCUUGCAUCCACGACAGUGCGUGUGCUUGGCUGGUGAGCACGUUUCAAGACCUCCCUGCCUGUUUCAUUACAGUAUAUUUAGCAGCUGUAGGCGUUAACUUGACGUGUGCAGGACCGCUUGCAGCUGUUUAUUUAGCACAUGUUGAAAAAACGACUUUAUAUCGGUGUUAUAUGCAUGUUCACACGCGUAUCUGCCGUCUCAUUGACUAGAAUGGUCCCACUUCAACAGCUGAGGGAUAUACUGAUCGCCAAGGUGGAUUUCGUGGCAUUUUAUUGUGCAAGUGAUUAAUUGUACUGGCCAAAUGAGUCCAAGAAACUGGCCGUCGUAUCUGCGGGUGAAAGGUUCUUGGGUAUCCACGAUUUCACGGCUGAAACGUAAGGAAUACUGUCUGAAUAUGUUAUUCUUUCUCAGGCACCAGAGAGCCUGUAGCAAUCAGUUGUUUCAUUGUCAUUUGUUUAUUAUUUGGGAAGAAUGUGAUUUCUCUCCCCCUUUUUCUCUUAUUGUUUUAUUUGAUCUCGUAUACUACCCUGUACAGUGGGUGGCGGCAUGCACCUCUAACAUGUUUGCGUACCGCUAUAAUACCAUAGAAGAGUUGUCCCAACUGAUCGGUCAUGGCUAAAAGUUAAAUUAACGUCAAAAGUAGUUCAUUUUGCAUUUUAGCUAACUUUAACCUAAUUAUUCUAACCUGCUCCAGAAAGUAAAAUAUGACAAAACCCACCUGGUCUCUUCCUCGGGCCUGCCUUCCUUCUUUGAAGACAGAAAAACAGGAGAACUGUGCAAUGUCUGGAUAUGGAACGUCGGAAUCUACACCGAGAGAUUUGCCGACUAUCCUCAGGUGUUGUGAAGAGAAGGUUUGACUGGACGUUGUUACUGGGAGGCUGAGUGCGGUGGGAAAUCGUUUAAUGCAGGUGUGGCAUAUGAAGACAUGAGCAGGGUUGGAAAAGAGCUCAACUGUUUAUUUUGUUACAAUGACAAAUCCUGGAGCCUGAGACGCCUCAAACGUCGUUUCCUCAAACGCUGACAAAGUUGGGGUGUAGCUGAACUCCUCAAGGCAUUCUGUCCUAACAAGUCUACGACACACCUGCAUUUCACUCAACCUUCACUGAACCACUCUAUGCAAUACUGUCAGUCAGUGACUAUUCAUCAGUGUCUCCGUGCUUGGUCUCAAAUGAGGAGAAAAGGAGGAUGGCAGAUGGUUAAGAUAAUAUCCUGUUCGAGGGAGAGAUCAGUUGACUGAGAAAAUACAUUUGAAAAAAUUCACAAUAUUUUCCAUAAUGAUUUGAACAUUUCAAUGUUCUGAAUGACCUCCAUUCUUAACGUGUUUAUAUCGGAGGUCUUACUGUACACCUCAAACUAUUCAGAUUAACAGUAUACACCAUUCCAUGGUCUUAGUAAAAAAAAUGUUUUAAUAUUUUUAGAUGUGAUGCAUUUUUAUCUAAUAAAGUAAUUAACAUUUCUCAAGCACUUGACCCCAAACUCUGGUCUUCUUACCCCAAACCACCACACCUCUAACCCAGCAAGUAUGGGGAUAGUGAGAGAGAGCACACAGAGAUAGAGAAGCUGACAUAUGAAGUCAGCCAUGCUUGACUUGCACCGCACCAUCUGUCUCCCUCCAAAUUUUAAUGAGACACCAGGAAGGGGGGAGACUAGAGAAGAGGCUGGAUCCAUUCAAACAGACAUCUUGUUAGACUACAGCGCUUCUCCAAGGUAAUGGUCUGCUGGGUAUUUUUGCUGUAUAGUGGAUAGAUAGA
rnacentral:lncRNA from 1 species